rnacentral:lncRNA from 1 species
UUAAAUUUCACCAAAUCUGGGGAGCUUUUAGCCAUUAUUUACUUGAAUACAUUUUCUUCCCCAGACUCUUUCUCCUCUCUUUCCAGAAAUCCAAUGUAUGAAUGUUAAAUCCGUCAUUACUGUGUUCUAGGUCACUCGUGCUCUGUUCAUUUUUUUUUUCAUUCAAUUUUCUUUCCAUUGUUUAGAUUGGGUGAUUUCUAUUUUUCUAACUUCAAGUUCUCUGAUUUUUUUUUAUGUCCUAUUCAUUCUGCUAUUGAGUUCAUCCAGUGAGAGUUUUUUAAAUUGUGUUUUUUCAGUUCUAAAGUCUCCAUUUUAUUCUCCUUUACAUCUUCUGUUUCUUUUCUGAGACUUUCUAUCUUUUAAUGCAUUUCAGGUAUAUUCACAAUUGCUUUUUAAAGCAUUUUUUUUUUUUUUUUUUUUUUUUUUUUUUUUUUUUUUUUUUUUUUUUUUUUU